rnacentral:rRNA from 1 species
GAUGAACGCUGGCGGCGUGCUUAAUACAUGCAAGUCGAACGGAGUGUUAGCAAUAGCACUUAGUGGCGAACGGGUGAGUAACGCGUUGGUGACCUGCCCUAGAUCGUGGGAUAACAGUUCGAAAGGACUGCUAAUACCGCAUGAAGUUACGGGAGUUAGAGAGCCGUAACGAAAGGCGAAAGUCGAUAUAGGAGGGACCUGCGUCCCAUCAGCUAGUUGGUGAGGUAACGGCCCACCAAGGCGACGACGGGUAGGGGGCCUGAGAGGGUGACCCCCCACACUGGCACUGAAACACGGGCCAGACACCUACGGGUGGCAG